rnacentral:lncRNA from 1 species
AGCUUAAAUUAAAGCACAUGUAUAAGUGCUGACCUAAAGAGAGAUGUAUUUAUGCAUCUGUUUAUGGGGUUUAUAAGAGUUUAAGGACCAUGGUUGUUUACCUCUAUUGAAUUAUUUUGUUUUAUAUCUUGUUCUGCCAUCUGCUGUAGAAAUAUCCGUGUACAGGAAUGAUACUUGUGCCUGGGUGGGACUCUGCAAAAGCCUGAAGAUAAGUUGGUAGGCUAAAGUUUAACUGUAAAUGUAUUGUGACAAAAGCUGUAAGUAAAAUCCUAAUCUUGUUAAGAAGAUUAAUUUUACUGUUUGUCUUUGCACAUAUUAUAUGUCUUUAUUUCACUCUAAAUGGAACUCAGUCAUGACUAAGGACAGCAUCUGGAUGCUGUUCUGGAGCAAACAUUAAUGAGAACACAUUUUUUCAUAAAGAUUGUCUGAUUGAGGCUGCUUUUUGUCAGUGGUAAGGAUAGUCGAGUCCUGUAGAGCUGUUUAAUUAGAAAGCAAGAGAACAAUUGGAAAUCAAUAUGAUCCAACUGAAAUGAUUCUAAAAACUUUUAGAAAGUAAUGGAAUAUUAUAAAUCACUCAAAAUUCCAUAAAUUUGGUAAAAAAAAGGUUUUUAAAUCUGCUCUAUGUUAAAUCCUGUAGAACAUUUCCAUUAGGUGCAGAGUUUGUCAUAUCUGUGGAAUGAUUUAACUCAUGUCUAUUAACAUUGAUAAAACAUUGAGAUAAGCAAGAUGACUGUUAUUUUUGAUACAGAAGAGCAGGUAAUUAUAUCUCUAUCUACAUGACUAUACAUAACUGUUAAACUUUUUUCAGGACAGAGUUACGGCUAUGAAACUUAUUCUAACAACUUUCUCCAUCUUCACGUAAGUAGCUUUUAUUUUAGUAAGUCAAAUUGUUUAACCGAAUCAUGUUAUAUGUUCUGAUUUUUUUCCUGAGGGUUCCAGAUCAUUGUCUAUUGGUUCUUAGGACACAACCAGAAAUACUGGAACAUAAAGAGUUUUUAUUAACAAGGCAAAUGGAAGGUUAUCCCUGAUUCACCCAAGGAAAUACUCUGCACCUCUUCUCAAAACUCACGAAUAAAUUUCUCUCCAUCUGGUAAGUGGUAAGUUAC